rnacentral:sRNA from 1 species
GUGCACUCCUGGAGGAUAUAAGAUGGUGUUUUGUUCGUCUUAGCACAGGGAUUGGCACUUGGUAGACACCCACUGGAUGCUUGUUGAAUGAACAAAUGAAUGAAUGGACAAAUGAACAGGGCCUCAAGUGAACAAACAAAUGGCAGUGCUAAUGUGAGAACCUGGGACAAGACUUGGUGAUUUGUAAGCCCCCAGGCAGAGAUGGUAAAGCAUCCUUUGUUAUGUGUAUUCAAGCAUCCAUCCAGCCAAAAGUGCUGGAUUCAGGAAAGAUGGCAUCUAGCCCAGUGAGGUGAGGAAACUGAGGCCCAGAGAGGACAGGUCACUUGAGCAACGUCACACAGGUGGAAGGAGGAUUGUAGAACCUGUGCUUUUUAACAACUGCUGCUGCUGUGACUCACCAGAGUCUUGAGUAUUGAGAAGAAAGAACACACUGAAGGCAGAAGAGUCAGAAAGAGCUGAGCGAGUUUGAGACGGGCCAACUCAGUCCAGGCCUCCAGACCUGCCCCAGGCUCGGUGCAGAGCCCAGCGCCACCUCAGCCUGGGCAGCCAGGGACCCCAGGAGGAAGCAGACCGGGUCCUGGGCCAGCAGGACGCUUUCCAGAUCAGAAGCCAGAGGUGGCUCCGAGCGACCCUGGGACCACUGCCCCACCCCGAGAGGAGAGAACAGGGGGAGUCGGGGGCUACGCAGCAGUUGGAGCCAGAGAGGACCGAAUGAGCCACCCCUCCGGACCCUAUUCCCAAGCAUCUGCAGCUGCCCCCCAGCCUGCCGCAGCCCGCCAGCCACCACCCCCAGAGGAGGAGGAAGAGGAAGCCAACAGCUACGAUUCGGAUGAAGCAACCACCCUGGGUGCCCUGGAAUUCAGCCUUCUCUACGACCAGGACAACAGCUCCCUGCAGUGCACCAUCAUUAAGGCCAAGGGCCUGAAGCCCAUGGAUUCAAACGGCUUGGCUGAUCCCUACGUUAAGCUGCACCUCCUGCCGGGAGCCAGCAAGUCCAACAAGCUUCGUACAAAAACUCUGCGGAAUACCAGGAACCCCAUCUGG